rfam:Picea glauca, whole genome shotgun sequence.
GACUCAAUACUACGAAGACAUCCGAUAAAAUUGGAACGAUACAAAGAAGAUUAGCAUGGCCCCUGUGCAAGGAUGACAUGCACAAAUCGAGAAAUGGUCCAAAUUUGA